CAAAACUUAUUUAUUUAUUUAUUUAUUUAUUUUUGUUGGGAGCAACAUCUUUGCGAGGCACCGCUGUCUGUGUAGCUAUAGCAGCAAUUUAUUCGGUGCGUGACCCAGUGACGACAUGGGGGAAUUUUGCCUGAUGCAAUGGAGAAUGUGAGAUGUUGACAACUUUCCCAACAGCGGCUCAUCAGCGGGAAAUAGGUGAGCACCUGACUUCUAACAGAAAGGAGUUAGUUUACCCAGCAAUUAUGUGUCUCCUAACUACUGCUUGGUAUUUAAAGAGAUGAUUUGGUGUUGAGGAAAACAGAUAUGCUUCAGAUAUGGGGCGGAUGAGGCCUCAGAUGCGUGGGUACAAUGCUGUGGGACCCAAGCCUGCUGCAGAACCUAUAAGAGCUGAAAAAAAAGCCAUACUUAGGACUGGGAGCUCACAAAUAGCCUGUCCAGAAGAAUCAUCCUGCAACCUGGUGCUUCGGACGUGCACAUGUCAGGAAGCAGCAAUGCCAAAGCCUGGACAGCAGGAGGAAGCAAACAUAGAGUGGGGCAGGAAAAACUGGUGUUAAAAUGAUACUGGCUUUGCAAGGCAACACUCAUCGGCUACUUCAUAGCAAUAACACAGGGGGUCUCUGAGGGGAAGCCGUGUCUCUGUAGGAGGGAAACUUAAGGAAUGAACCACAGAAUAGUUGGGGUUGGCAGGGCCCUGUGGGUCCAUGUGGCACAACCCCUGCUCCAACAGGGACAGCCAGCACAGGGAGCCCAGCAUUUUCCUUGUUGGACUUCAUGCCAUCGCUGUCACCCAGAUCCUCGUGUUUCUAUCUGGACCCCCCCCUAGGCUUCUCCUAGUGUUGUGGAUGCCACUGACAGCACUGCAGCACGGGGAAAGAUCUGCUCCUGCUUCCCUGCUGCCUCUCCUCGCAGGCCUCGGCCCUGGCCUGCUGCUGAGGGAGGGAGGCCAUGUUGGGCCUGCAUGCUGGGGUGCCAGGUGCCUCAGGACCGUCUCGCUUGUAGGGGACCCAGCUGGCUGUGGCGAUGCAACUGCGGUGCCCUUCUGUGGCAAAGAUAGAGAACUGCAGCCCUCUUUCAGGCUCCUUUGUGCAAACCAAGCAGGUUUGCCCUGGGCAGGAGAGCUACAAGCUGAGAUCCUUGUAAGGGCUGAGAGGUGGCAGAUGCCCACAGAGAGGGGAGGAAAGAAGGGG
rnacentral:lncRNA from 1 species